CCUACGGGGGCAGCAGUGGGGAAUUUUUCGCAAUGGGGGCAACCCUGACGAAGCAAUGCCGCGUGGAUGAAGAAGGCCUUCGGGUUGUAAAGUCCUUUCGUGGGGGGACGAAAAGGCGGGGGCCCUAAUACGGUCUGUUAUUGACGUGAACCCAAGAAGAAGCACCGGCUAACUCCGUGCCGCGCCG
rnacentral:rRNA from 1 species